GAUCCUGGCUCAGAAUCAACGCUGGCGGCGUGCCUAACACAUGCAAGUCGCACGAGAAAGGGGCUUCGGUCCUGAGUAAAGUGGCGCACGGGUGAGUAACACGUGACUUAUCUACCUCCGAGUGGGGAAUAACUGAGGGAAACCUUAGCUAAUACCGCAUAACACUUACGAGUCAAAGCAGCAAUGCGCUUGGAGAGGAGGUCGCGGCAGAUUAGCUAGUUGGCGGGGUAAUGGCCCACCAAGGCGAUGAUCUGUAUCCGGCCUGAGAGGGCGCACGGACACACUGGAACUGAAACACGGUCCAGACUCCUACGGGAGGCAGCAGUGGGGAAUUUUGCGCAAUGGGGGAAACCCUGACGCAGCAACGCCGCGUGGAGGAUGAAGUCUCUUGGGACGUAAACUCCUUUCGAUAGGGACGAUAAUGACGGUACCUAUAGAAGAAGCCCCGGCUAACUUCGUGCCAGCAGCCGCGGUAAUACGAGGGGGGCAAGCGUUGUUCGGAAUUAUUGGGCGUAAAGGGCGCGUAGGCGGUUUGGCAAGUUUGGUGUGAAAUCUUCGGGCUCAACUCGAAGUCUGCACCGAAAACUGCCGGGCUUGAGUAUGGGAGAGGUGAGUGGAAUUUCCGGUGUAGCGGUGAAAUGCGUAGAUAUCGGAAGGAACACCUGUGGCGAAAGCGGCUCACUGGACCAU
rnacentral:rRNA from 1 species